GGAAGGUGCAUGGGCUGGGGGUGGCCAUCCUUCCAUCUGCAUGAGGUCUGUAGGCAAGGGUCUGCCUAGAAAGCGGGUAAUUUAAGCAGAAGGAGAUAAAUCUAAGCCAAAAAGACAAAGGGACGCACAAAGAGCUUGCAGGAGAGGAAGGCUGUGCAGUCUGCAGGUCCUAUAAUUUCCUUUCGAGCAGUAACAGAAGCAGAGCUGAGCUGCAAGAAUAAAACUAACUCCCUUCACAGUGGGUGACCCCUCACUUCAUCCCCAAAGCAGCCUUGGUGCCUGGGGACCACCUUCCAGUCCCAUCCAAUUCUGCUCUCCCACCCCUGUGGGUGUCUUUCAGUCCUGAAAGGAGUGUAAGUGGGGAAGGGGGCCCCAGGCUUAGGAGGAAGUGGUGUGUGCCUCAGAUUUCUGGAAUGUUGGCCACAGCACCCCACUGACUUUCCAUCUCUGGUCCAGUUUGGUGCCCUCAGCUGGCUCCUCCCCAUCUCCUGCAUCUACCAUCCCCGGCUGCCCUGAGUAUCCAAGUUACAGCCCCCAGUCCCCAGCAGGCCUCCUCCUUUCAUAAUGUAAUCCCACAGCUGUAAAUAGUUCCCCAGGUGUGGGCUUCUCCCUCCAGCUGCCUUGGGCUACUUUCCUUCUUCCUGGGGAAACUAUUUACCCUUAGGAGAUUAAAAAAAAAGGGGGAAAAAGGCCUUCCC
rnacentral:lncRNA from 1 species